rnacentral:rRNA from 1 species
UACGGAGGGGGCUAGCGUUGUUCGGAAUUACUGGGCGUAAAGCGCACGUAGGCGGCUUUGUAAGUUAGAGGUGAAAGCCCAGGGCUCAACCCUGGAAGUGCACUCGAUACUGGCUCGCUAGAGUACUGGAGAGGUUGGUGGAAUUCUCGGUGUAGAGGUGAAAUUCGUAGAUAUCGAGAGGAACACCGGUGGCGAAGGCGGCCAACUGGACAGAUACUGACGCUGAGACACGAAAGCGUGGGGAGCAAACAGG